rnacentral:rRNA from 1 species
GACGAACGCUGGCGGCGUGCCUAAUACAUGCAAGUCGAACGCAGUGGGGACGGGUGAGUAACACGUGGGUAACCUCCCAUCAGAGGGGAUAACACUUGGAAACAGGUGCUAAACCGAUACUGAUGGAUGGACCCUCGGUGCAUUAGCUAGUUGGUGGGGUAACGGCGCACCAAGGCCACGAUGCAUAGCUGGCCGGGGAGGGUGACCGGCCAACCUGGAACGGAGACACGGCCCAGACUCCUACGGGAGGCAGCAGUGGGGAAUCUUGGGCAAUGGACGCAAGUCUGACGGAGCAACGCCGCGUGAGUGAAGAAGUUUUUCGGGUUGUAAAACUCUGUUGUUAGAGAGGCGGUAUCUGAACAGAAAGCCACGGCUAACUACGUGCCAGCAGCCGCGGUAAUAC